rnacentral:rRNA from 1 species
CCUACGGGUGGCAGCAGUGGGGAAUAUUGCACAAUGGGCGCAAGCCUGAUGCAGCCAUGCCGCGUGUGUGAAGAAGGCCUUCGGGUUGUAAAGCACUUUCAGCGGGGAGGAAGGCGUUAAGGUUAAUAACCUUGUCGAUUGGCGUUACCCGCAGAAGAAGCACCGGCUAACUCCGUGCUAGCAGCCGCGGUAAUACGGAGGGUGCAAGCGUUAAUCGGAAUUACUGGGCGUAAAGCGCACGCAGGCGGUCUGUCAAGUCGGAUGUGAAAUCCCCGGGCUCAACCUGGGAACUGCAUUCGAAACUGGCAGGCUAGAGUCUUGUAGAGGGGGGUAGAAUUCCAGGUGUAGCGGUGAAAUGCGUAGAGAUCUGGAGGAAUACCGGUGGCGAAGGCGGCCCCCUGGACAAAGACUGACGCUCAGGUGCGAAAGCGUGGGGAGCAAACAGGAUUAGAUACCCCGGUAGUC